rnacentral:rRNA from 1 species
AACGCGUAUGUAAUCUGCCUAUUGCAGGAGGAUAGCCUGAGGAAACUCUGAUUAAUACUCCAUAAUAUGUUUAUCUUGCAUGAGAUAAACAUCAAAGUCUAGUCGGCAAUAGAUGAGCGUGCGUCCGAUUUAUGCUAGUUGGUAGGAUAAUAGCCUACCAAGGCUACAAUUCGGUAGGGGACCUGAGAGGGUAAACCCCCACACUGGUACUGAGAACGGACCAGACUCUAACGGGAGGCAGCAGUGAGGAAUAUUGGUCAAUGGAGGAAACUCUGAACCAGCUACGCCGCGUGCAGGAAGAAGGCCUGAUUGGUCGUAAACUGCUUUUGUAGGGGAAUAAAGGAUUCUACAUUGAGGAUUUUGAAUGUACUCUACGAAUAAGUAUCGGCAAACUCUGUGCCAGCAGCCGCGGUAAUACAGAGGAUACAAGCGUUAUCCGGAUUUAUUGGGUUUAAAGGGUGCGUAGCUGUUCAUUAAGUCAGUAGUGAAAUCUUGCAGCUUAACUGUUAAAAUUGCUAUUGAUACUGAUGGACUGGAAUUAUAUCGGAGUAGCUGGAAUAUGUGGUGUAGCGGUGAAAUGCAUAGAGAUCACAUAGAACACCAAUCGCGAAGGCAAGCUACUAGGUCUAUAUUGACGCUGAGGCACGAAAGCGUGGGGAGCAAACAGGAUUAGAUACCCUGGUAGUCUACGCUGUAAACGAUGAUCACUAACUAUUGGAUCUUCAGUGUAUUCAGUGGUAAAGCGAAAGUGUUAAGUGAUCCACCUGGGAAGUACGAUCGCAAGAUUGAAACUCAAAGGAAUUGACGGGGGCUCGUACAAGCGGUGGAGUAUGUGGUUUAAUUCGAUGUUACGCGAGGAACCUUACCAAAGCUUAAAUGCGUUACGAAAUAAACUAGAAAUAGUUUGCUUCUUUAGGACGGAACGCAAGGUGUUGCAUGGUUGUCGUCAGCUCGUGCUGUGAAGUGUUAGGUUAAGUCCUUUAACGAGCGUAACCCCUGUCGUUAGUUACUAUCAGGUUCAGGUAAUGCUGGGGACUCUAACGAGACUGCCGGCGUAAGUUGUGAGGAAGGUGGGGAUUACGUCAAAUCAUUACGACUCUUAUGCCUUGGGCUACACACGUACUACAAUGAUCGGUACAAUAAGCUGCCACUGAGUGAUCAGGAGCUAAUCUCUAAAAGCCGAUCUCAGUUCGGAUUGGAGUCUGCAACUCGACUCUAUGAAGUUGGAAUCGCUAGUAAUCGUGUAUCAGCCAUGACGCGGUGAAUAUGUUCUCGGGCCUUGUACACACCGCCCGUCAAGCCAUGGAAAUCGGGGAUACUUGAAGUCGGUGUCCGUAAA